GAUGAAGAACGUAGCGAAAUGCGAUACAUAAUGUGAAUUGCAGAUUUCAGUGAAUCAUCGAAUCUUUGAACGCACAUUGCGCCCGCUAGUAUUCUGGCGGGCAUGCCUGUUCGAGCGUCAUUACAACCCUCAGGCCCCCGGGCCUGGCGUUGGGGAUCGGCGAGGCGCCCCCCGCGGGCACGCGCCGUCCCCCAAAUACAGUGGCGGUCCCGCCGCAGCUUCCAUUGCGUAGUAGCUAACACCUCGCAACUGGAGAGCGGCGCGGCCAUGCCGUAAAACACCCAACUUCUGAAUGUUGACCUCGAAUCAGGUAGGAAUACCCGCUGAACUUAAGCAUAUCAAUAAGCGGAGGA
rnacentral:misc_RNA from 1 species